UUCCGGUUGAUCCUGCCGGACCUUACUGCUAUCGGGAUGAGAUUAAGCCAUGCAAGUCGUGCGCUCUUAAGCUAUGUUGAGAGCGCGGCGAACUGCUCCGUAACACGUAGUUAACCUACCCUCGGGAUGGGGAUAACCCCGGGAAACUGGGAUUAAUACCCAAUAGAUGAUUAUGCCUGGAAUGGUUUAUCAUCGAAAGAUUCUGGAAACAUGCUUACAGCGUCGCCCGAGGAUGGGACUGCGUCCGAUCAGGUUGUUGGUGGGGUAACGGCUCACCAAGCCUAUAACCGGUACGGGCCCUGAGAGGGGGAGCCCGGAGAUGGAAACUGAGAAAAGGUUCCAGGCCCUACGGGGUGCAGCAGGCGCGAAACCUCCACAAUGCGCGAAAGCGUGAUGGGGUUAUCCCGAGUGCCGUCCGAUGAGGAUGGCUUUUCAUCGGUGUAAGGAUCCGAUGGAAUAAAGGGGGGGCAAGACUGGUGUCAGCCGCCGCGGUAAUACCAGCCCCCUGAGUGGUAGGGACGAUUAUUUGGCCUAAAGCGUUCGUAGCCGGCUUAUCAAGUCUUUUGUUAAAUCCAGCGAUUCAAUCGUUGGGCCGCAAAAGAUACUGUUAUGCUAGAGGACGGGAGAGGUCGACGGUAGUCCAGGGGUAGGGGUGAAAUCCUAUAAUCCUUGUAGGACCACCAGUGGCGAAAGCGUCAGACUGGAACGCGCCUGACGGUGAGGGACGAAAGCCAGGGGAGCGAACCGGAUUAGAUACCCGGGUAGUCCUGACCGUAAACGAUGCAUACUAGUGAUGGUACGGCCAUGAGCCGUAUCAGUGCCGUAGGAAACCGUUAAGUGUGCCGCCUGGGAGUACGGUCGCAGCUAAACUAAGAUGCGGGGAGCACACAGGGUGAGCUGCG
rnacentral:rRNA from 1 species